CAAAGAAGAAAGAGAAAAACUUUAUUGUUAUGCACCCACCCAUUGUAUUUAAGCAGCAAGGCCUGACCGGAAGUCCAUUUUUCUCCUUCCGUUUCAUACUCGACAAAAUCUGCGUUAGGUGACGAUGAGUUUCUGAAGAUCUGACUCCCCUAACAACCUGAAUUCAUAGAUCAUCUUCCUCCGAUCGCGUGAAAAACAUGGCCAAGGAUGUCGAAGUUAACGGAUUCAACCCAGGAUUGAUUGUCUUACUUCUUAUUGGUGGGCUUGUGCUGACGUUCCUUAUUGGGAACUAUGUCCUUUAUGUGUAUGCCCAGAAAACCCUUCCUCCAAAAAAAAAGAAGCCGAUCUCCAAGAAGAAGAUGAAGAAGGAAAGACUGAAGCAAGGUGUUUCAGCACCCGGAGAGUAGAUGUUAAUACACUGGAGGACAAGAACGUGUCUGAAUUCAUGUCCAUCAGCUCUAAAAUCAGAUGAUUGUAAUUCUUAAGGUUACAUUUUCUUGUCAAAACAGAUAGAACAUCAAAAACUGUUUUUGCUGCCUUUAUUUGUGCUACUGACUGAGAAAUUUUCAUAGAAGCUACUGAUUUUCCUUUUUUCCUUCUAGAAUAA